CCCUUGGCUACCCUAACAGUCAAGAACAAAGUUCCCACAACAAAGGCGGCUGUGAGGAGGGAGCUUCUCCACCUAUUUGCAUAGAGAGGGAACAGGUGCCUCUCAGCCGAGAAACCACUGAAGGAAAUUCUGACUUCCGGCAAUCUUCUGAUUGGAGGGGUUGGACAAGAUGUUGGGUCUUGAAUAGGGACAGUUUCAAUGACAAAUGCUGCCACCUGCAGGUGGAAGGUGAAACUGGACUGUUCAGAACCGCAAUGUUUGGAAACCUCCAGCCAAGUUUGGUCAACUUCAAGGCGAUGUUACACUUUCUUUAGUUUGAAGUGUACUCUAUCAGCAUGCACCUGUGAUUUCCGAGUCUGUGUUGCUGGAGAGAUGGCUCAGCGGAUAAGAGCUCUGACUGUUCUUCCAGAGGUCCUGAGUUCAAUUCCUGGCAACCACGUGGUGACUCACAACCACCUUGAAUGAGGUCUGCUGCCCUCUGCUGGCAUGCAGGCAGAAGACUGUAUACAUAGUAAAUAAAAUCUUAAAAAAAAAAAAAAAAAAAAAAAAAGGAAUCUGGGCACACAGGACAAGACAUAUCCACAGUUGCAUGAUUGGCAGGUGGCAGAAGUGGGGGAAGGGGUUGAACCUAAACACUGCUCUGAGAUGUGUUCUAAAAUUUUUUUAAAGAUUUUAUUUAUUAUAUAUAUACCACAUUCUGCUUCCAUGUAUAUCUGCA
rnacentral:lncRNA from 1 species